rnacentral:rRNA from 1 species
AGUCGAACGAGAACGGGUCUUAGCUUGCUAAGAUUGUCAGCUAAGUGGCGCAGGGAGAAUAAUAUAUAGUUAACCUGCCCUAGAGAGAGGGAUAACGUUUGUGAAACGGACGCUAACACCUCAUAUGCCUUUAAGACAAAAGUCUGCAAGGGAAACAUUUAUGGCUCUAGGAUGGGACUGUACGGUAUCAGUUAGUUGGUGAGGUAAUGGCUCACCAAGACAAUGACACCUAACUGGUUUGAGAGGAUGAUCAGUCACACUGGAACUGAGACACGGUCCAGACUCCUACGGGAGGCAGCAGUGGGGAAUAUUGCACAAUGGACGAAAGUCUGAUGCAGCAACGCCGCGUGGAGGAUGACACAUUUCGGUGCGUAAACUCCUUUUAUAUAGGAAGAUAAUGACGGUACUAUAUGAAUAAGCACCGGCUAACUCCGUGCCAGCAGCCGCGGUAAUACGGAGGGUGCAAGCGUUACUCGGAAUCACUGGGCGUAAAGAGAAUGUAGGCGGGUAAUUAAGUCAGAAGUGAAAUCCAAUAGCCCAACUAUUGAACUGCUUUUGAAACUGAUAACCUAGAAUAUGGGAGAGGUAGAUGGAAUUUCUGGUGUAGGGGUAAAAUCCAUAGAGAUCAGAAGGAAUACCGAUUGCGAAGGCGAUCUACUGGAACAUUAUUGACGCUGAGAUUCGAAAGCGUG